GCCGCUCCAGGUCCCGGUCCCGCUCCGCCAGCAAAUAGGCUGCCCGCCCCGCCCGGUCGGCUGUCUGGCCUCCAAGGGGUGCCUGCCGAAGCCACGCCCCGCCCCCUGACCCCCACCCCACCAAGACCGACCCCUCCAUGCUUGCCGAGAAAUACGCAACUCUUUAAUUAACUUUCGCCAAGUUUGUAUUAUUGUUUACUUCCAAGUCAAGACCUCUUUGUAAUUUUUUUAAUCAUCAAGGUCAAAUCGAUAUCGUACGUCCUUGCGAUGUUUGAAGCCAAUUUUUCUAAUGAAGAUGCAAACGAAUUUGUACGGAUUUUUUUUUCUUGUUAGCGAGGAGGGCGAAACAAUAAAAAAGGAGAGAGAUGCAAGGAAA